GUGUUGUAUGAAAGUAGAAAAGGUUAGCACUCCCCUUGACAAAGAUGGAAGAGGCCCUUGUGCCUGUGUAACAUACAUACAGUUAAGGCAUUGCCACUUACUUCAUCGUAUCUAACCACUUUUUGU
rnacentral:ncRNA from 1 species